GCGCUAUAGUUUUGAAGUUCUUUUUGGAGAUUUGGAAGGGAAAUUAGUGGCUGGGAUAACGUUAAAAGGACAUCAUCUGCGAACAGAUUGAGUUUGUACUCUUUUUCCCCUACGUUUAUGCCAUGUAUGUUUGGAGUGCGUCUGAUGGCUUCUGCGAGGGGUUCCAGGGCUAAUACAAAGAGAAGUGGUGACAGGGUCACCCCUGCCUAGUCCCAUGUGUGAUGUCGAAUGGGUCUGAUUGGAACCCUGAGGAAGAUACCGCUGCGUUUGAAAGGCUGUAUAGAGCUUUAAUGGCCGUCAGGUAUGUGGGGGGGGGAGUCAAAUUUUUUAAGGGUAGCCUCUAGGAAUUGCCAAUUCAGUCUGUCAAAGGCUUUUUCUGCGUCUAGUGAGAUUAUGAGUCCUUGUUUCUGGUCCAUGUGUAUCGUCUGUAUAAUGUCUAUCACUUUUCGUGUAUUGUCUGAGCCUUGCCUUCCGUGCACAAAGCCCACUUGGUCGUUUGAGAUAAGAGAGGGGAGGAUGUUUUUAAGUUGGUUGGCUAGUAUUUUUGCAUAUAUUUUGGUAUCUGAGUUCAGUAAUGAUAUGGGGCGGAAGUUUUGACAGUGUGUCGGUGGUUUUCCUGGUUUCGGUAGGGUAAUUAUUCUAGCUGCCUGGUAUUCCGCUGGGAAGUUCCCUGUAUGGAGGGUGUGGUUAAAUGCCCGUUUGAGAUGCGGGGCCAGAUGUGGUGUGAUUUUCUUAUAGUAUUCGUUUGUGUAGCCAUCUGGGCCUGGUGCUUUCCCUUGGGGUAAGGAUGUUAUGCAAUCUGAGAUUUCGUUUUCUGUGAUGGGGGCUUCCAGGAGUUGCUUCUGGGUUCCAGACAGGGUUGGCAGUGGAAUGUCCGUUAGAUAGGACUGUAUGCCUGUUUCUGUGAGUUGCGGGGUGUUCGGGUCUUUUGAAAGGUUAUAUAGUUGGCUGUACUAUUGGGCAAAUUCUUUACAUAUGUCUGAGGGUAGGUGGACUUUAUGGCCCUUCUUGUUUACGAUGUGAACUAUCCGUGUUUGUUGCUGUCUUUCUCGUAGGCGUUGCGCUACAAGUGUGCUGGCUCUAUUACCUUGGACGUAUGUGCGAGUGUUUAGUCUAUUUAGCAUGAGGCUGAAUUUGUGGAGUCUGGUCUCAUUAAGUUUGUUUUGGAGUGCAUUGAUUUGUGUUUUGUGGUCUACUGAUGGAUGCUUUUGGUUAUCUUUAUGAAGAUCCUCCAGUUGUCGUUUGUAUUGUGUUGCUUCUUUUUCUGUUUGUUUUUUUAGGUAUGUGGCUCUGCUUAUCAGUGUGCCCCUUAUUACUGUUUUGUGUGCAAGCCAAAUCGUGUGGGGGUUCAGGUCAUUUGAAGCGUUAGUGGAAAAGUAGCUGUGGAGUUCGUUUUCUAGGGUUUUGCAGUAUUGUGUGUCUUUGAGUAGAUAUUCAUUGAGACGCCAUGGGUUUCUGUGUUUGUAUUCGUAUGAGCUCGCUAAUGUUAGUGUCGGUGCAUGGUCUGACCAGUCAACAUUUAGAAUGUCGCAUUCCAGUAUGUUGGCCAUUGUGGAUUCAUGCAUGAAGCAUCCGUCGAUUCUAGAGUAUGUGUUAUGUACUUUGGAGUGGUGUGUGUAGGCCCUUUCUGACGGGUGGAGGGCUCUCCAUACGUCUCUUAAUCCAUACAUGGAUAGCAGAUUCC